AAAAAAUUAGUUAAAGUUAUAACAUUAGUAUGUCAAACUAAAAUUAUUAAAUUUUUAAUAUUUUUUG
rnacentral:tRNA from 1 species